UCCAUGGGGGGAGCCGAGGCGUUCCAAUGCUUGAAGCAGGUAUUUGGAGACGACUACAAAAUUUUGCUUCGUAAAGGUGUGUUCCCUUACAGUUACCUUAGUUCUUUUGCAGUGUACGACGAGUUGAGUCUCCCAGAAAAAUCCGCUUUUCGAAAUGAUCUAACUGGGGAAGAUGUAAGCGAUGAGGACUACCAGUACGCUGUGCAUGUAUUUGAACAUUUUGGGUGCUCGAGUUUACGGGAUUAUAACACAUUGUACCUGAAAACGGAUGCCCUCUUACAUGCAGACAUAAUGCAGCACUUCCGACGCCUGUGCUACAGCGCACGCGGAUUGGAAUUGCUUCAUUGCGUUUCUCUGGCAUCCUAUUCGUGGCAAUGCGCGUUAAAUUAUACGAAUGCAAAAUUGGAAUUGAUUACCGAUGAGGAAAUGUACAGAACCAUCGAAUCGGGCGUUAGAGGCGGGCUCUGUCAGGCGAGCAGGCGUCAUUUGCGUGCCAAUAACCCUCUGUGUAGCGGCUAUGAUCCUGAUCAAGAGGAGGUGUACAUGUCAUACAUAGAUUGCAACAAUCUUUACGGAUUUAGUAUGAUAAAGCACCUCCCUGCCGGUGAUUUCGAAUGGGUCGAGGAUUUUAGCUCCGUGGAUUUUAUGCAUCACCCCACGGAUUCGGAGGUGGGGUAUGUGUACGUAUGUGACUUGGAGUAUCCAAAAUCUAUCCACGCUCUAACGCGAUACUUCCCCCUGGCUCCCGAGAAGGCAGUCGUCCCGAAGGAAUGGCUCUCGCCAUUCCAGCGAGGGCUUCUCGAAGAAUUAAUGUAUCAGCCUGCUAACAGCAAAAAGCUGUUGCUCACGUGCAACGACAAGGUCGAGUACGUCGUUCAUUACGCGUUGCUCGCACUCUAUUGUAGAUUGGGCAUGAGGGUGACAAAAAUUCACCGAAUCCUAAAAUUUCGCCAGGCACCAUUCCUGCGUCCCUACAUCGAGGACAAUGUUGCCAGGCGCGUUGCCUCGAGCACAACGUUCGAAAAAAAUUUCUAUAAACUCUCAAAUAAUGCGGUAUUCGGGAGAACGCUUUUAAAUAAAUUUAACAUGCGUGAUAUUCGAGUAGCCUUCGAUGAGGAGACGGCGAGUCGCCUCGGGAGUCGGGCAGAAUGCGUGCGGAUGGAAAUUUUGUCCCCAGAUUGUGUCAUGUACGAAAUGCGCAAAAGAAAAGUGCGAUGCGAUUUCCCGCUCCAGAUUGGGUUUACGAUUUUAGAACUCAGUAAAUUAACCAUGUACUCAUUCUACUACGAAACUCUGCUGAGCAAGCUCACUUGUCCGGUGAUUACCUGCUACUUUGACACGGAUUCUUUGAUCCUCGGCCUAUUCUGCAAGGACUACGAAGAUCAGUUACGAGCGAUCGCUGACGACCACUUAGAUUUGUCUUCCUUUGAUCGGGAUCAUCCACUGUACAGUGAAAAGAAUCGUGGAAGACUUGGGGCAUUCAAAAGCGAAACUGGUAGUGUACCUAUCGAAGAAGUAAUAUGCUUGAAAGCUAAAAUGUACUCUAUCAAACUAGCUGGAGAAAAGCAAAUUGCAAGAGCUAAAGGGGUAAAGAAAAAUAUUGUACGCAAGCACCUCCUCCAUGAGACAUACCACGAUACCUUGUUCAAUCACACGAGCGUAUCGAAUGAGCAAGUGUCAAUAGUUGGAAAGAAACAGUGCAUGUACACCAUCAGAAAUGUCAAAAGAAGUCUGAUGGCAUAUGACGACAAGCGAUACCUCUGCAAUGACAUUGAAUCCUACCCUUACGGAAGCUGUGAAUAUGAAGAUGUGCAGGAAGAGAACUGAUACUUCUGUGACAUGCUGUUCUCGCGUGCUGUCUGGGACUCAGCCGUGGAUGGAGAAGGACGAACGCCUGGGUGAUCCACAUGGUACUUAUGCGAAAAACGCCAUGGAUGUUAAUGGAAAUGUCCAGUGUGCCUGGAAGUGCCCCAGAGAGAACUACAAUCUCUCUGAGACUGCCAUGAUGUACUCAAUAAACAUUGAAAACUA